rnacentral:rRNA from 1 species
GAACGCUGGCGGCGUGCCUAAUACAUGCAAGUCGAGCGGACYUGAUGGAGUGCUUGCACUCCUGAMGGUUAGCGGCGGACGGGUGAGUAACACGUAGGCAACCUGCCCUCAAGACUGGGAUAACUACCGGAAACGGUAGCUAAUACCGGAUAAUUUAUUUUGCAGCAUUGUGAAAUAAUGAAAGGCGGAGCAAUCUGUCACUUGAGGAUGGGCCUGCGGCGCAUUAGCUAGUUGGUGGGGUAACGGCYYACCAAGGCGACGAUGCGUAGCCGACCUGAGAGGGUGAACGGCCACACUGGGACUGAGACACGGCCCAGACUCCUACGGGAGGCAGCAGUAGGGAAUCUUCCGCAAUGGGCGAAAGCCUGACGGAGCAACGCCGCGUGAGUGAUGAAGGUUUUCGGAUCGUAAAGCUCUGUUGCCAAGGAAGAACGUCUUCUAGAGUAACUGCUAGGAGA